rnacentral:lncRNA from 1 species
UCUUAGUGGUUGUGUAAUCGUUAAAUUUCCAAUUGUUGAUGUGCGCUCACCAAGCUUAAGGUUCAAAAGCCUUAUGUGUAAGCAUAUGGAUCGUUGCAAGAGCCUCAAAUUACUCUCAGAGCUUCCACCAUAUCUGCUCGACUUGAAUGUACAUGACUGCACAUCAUUAGAAAAAGUUCCCUUUGCAGAUCAAAAUUUAUAUCAGUUUGGUUCGUUAGGUGAUGAAGGUGAUGGUGUGUUUUGCAUGUUAUUCUGUAAUUGCUUCAACUUGAAUCAAGAGUCAACUAAUAACAUUGAGGCAAAUGCCAUGCUCAAAAUUGGAUCCCUAGCUAAGGAACGGGCAGCGACAUAUGGUAGGAAAUACCUGGGUGAUAUCCUUCCAAGUUUGAUUUGUUGUUUCCCAAGAAACAAAAUUUCAACAAAUAAGUUCAAGUAUCAGAGUAUGAAUUCUUCCUUAAGUUUGAAGAUAGCCCCAAAUGGGGGUGGUGGGAGCAGAUUUUUCGUUUUUGUUAUCUGCCUUGUGGCUGAUCUCGCUCACUGCCCUCGCUUGAGAAGUCUUAAAUGUAUUUGUGGCUACUAACUUACAGCCGCUGAUGGUGGUCAUGAAAAGUUCAAAAGUACCAUAUCUUUCUUGGAUGCUUCUGAGUCAGAGAAAUGCAUGGGUGAUCACGUGUUUAUUCUAUCUAGCAUCAAAAUGGUUAAAAGAGACAAGAAUUAUGAGGAGGCAUCAUUUGAUUUCUACAUCAAAAAUUUCCAUCAUUAUGAAGAAGCAGCAGAAAAAUUAUCAAGGUGGAGAGAUGUGGUGUUCUUGUAUUUUACGUAGAUGCAGAGAGUGAUGCUGAUGCUACAGAAAUGAGACCUGCCGAGACCAAAAGAAGCUUUAGCCAUGAUGGUGAAGAAGGGGAUGGAGGCCCUAAACGAUUUCAACAGUUUUUAUUUCCUUUCAUUUUUGGCUCUGGUUUUCAGUAGUUACAACUUCUCAAUCAUGUCAUCCAAAUGCAUAAAGGGGUUUUCAUCUCAUUCUUUCAUAUUACUCGAUUUUUUAUUUCAUUUUUCAUAUUGCCAUAUUUUUGUUUUUCAUAGGUGUUAAAACUAAAUUUUCAACUUUUAAAUUAAUUGCCUAUGAUAGAAAAUGAACUGCUUUACUUAAUUAAAACCAACCAGGAUGAAUCUAACUUGCUCUGUUUAAAGUGUUAGAGUAUAGAUAAAGACUCUAUUAGUCUAUUAGUUGUUAGUUUGUUAUACAAGCAGUUAUGCUGUUAAGUGAGAUUGUUAGCAGCAGUUACUCAUACACAUUUUAUAAAUACUAUAGUUGUACUGGUUAAAUUCAAGAUAAUAAUACAAAAAUCAUUCUCUGCAUAUUCUAUUUUUCUUUCAAGUUUUUGUAGAUAUUAACAUGGUAAACGUCGGACAACAAUGAUUGACAGAGGCAGCAACAUAUUCACUUGAUUAUUGAAGGUUAUGAAUUGACUGGUUUUUUUUGGAGGGAACGUUACCUGUUCUGCCGCAUUUUGUGCCGUCUUCGGAGGGAUCUCUAGUUCCAAAUCCGGAUGCCUCAGCAUUAGUUCAGCAGGACAGGUUACUUGCCUCUUUCUGGUUAUUUUCUACUAUUAGUCCUUCACUGUUGUCUUCUUUUACAUAUGCUAGGAUGGCGUGCGAUGUUUGGAACACUGCCACUUGCCUUUUCACUGCCGUCACAGGUGUCAAGUUAUCUUGCAUUCGCCAUGAUUUACAUUCGCUUAAGAAAGGUAAUCUGUCGAUAAAGGAGUAUGUAGUAAAGAUUCAGAAUACCUGUGCUUUAAUCGAGGCUUGUCGAUCUUGGAUCUCGGAGAAAGAGAAAGUGGAGAUCGUACUUGUGGGCCUACCACCGGAGUUCAACGCCAUGCUCACCUUAGUGUCAUUCUUGUCGGAAGCCUUACCGUUACAACACCUCAUAGAUGAGUUGUUGGAGUAUGGAAGUCGCUAAAUUCGCGUGGUUCAGGAGGUGCCAUUUCAUGCUAACCUUUUGGAGACUAUUCCGUCACCGCCGGUGGAGGACUCUGUGUGUGGUGGCCGUCCCCUACUGGUGGUUGUGGGAAGAGGUUUUGAUCCAAACUCCAAUGUUAGAUCUGUGGUCAGUUUGGGCAUUUAGCUCAACAUUUUUAAUAUUGUCAUAAUCGCGACUAUAGUGGUCUGACAUUAGUGGCCUGGGCUUCAAAUUCGACCGAUCGUACUAGGCAGGGUUCGGAUGCUGGUUUCUCGUUUCUAUCGCCCGUCUCUAGUCAGUUUGGUGGCCUUUCGUAGACGGCGUCGUCACGAUUUCUUUCUGGUAAAUGGUAGGGUG